UUCCCUGUGCCCACAAUGACUCAGUCACUCUCGCCCUGGAGCAAGGCAGGAGCUGCCUCCACUCUCUGCCAUAGUGGACAUCAAUCUUUGAACUAUUUCACUAGUUUCAGAGCUUUGCGUGGACCUGAGGCUGGUUGUUCUCAGCCGGUGUGUUGGGACUCACUGAGCUGUGGUUGGAUCACCUUACAGGACACGGCCAUGGUCAGUGUGCUGGAGCAGCCGAGUCGCCCGGGUUCCUUUGAUGACUUGGCUGAGCUGUUCCUGCACCGUCUGCAGCAGGAGCCAUGGGCGCUGGGUGGCUUCGUGGUCAUGGUGGUGUUCGUUCUAGGAGUGCUGUCUCUGGUUCUCUUUGCUCUUCUUUAUGGACGCUGCCACGACACGCAGGAAAGGACGCAAGAGAGGAAGAAAGAGCUAAGGGAUAAUGCAGCGAUUUAAACGUGAGCGGGGUGACAGGCAUGUGACUUUCAAAGUAAAGUUUACGACUCAAAGGGAGAAUCUGCUUCUGUCGUUGGUUCGGUUUGGUUUUCCCUCAGCUCCCCAGGUGAAGGUGCAUACCUGUCCGCCGUCAGCUCACCUGUUUGCAGUCACCAUCCCAUAGUUCAGUAGCUCCUUGCUUCAUCCCUGACUUGUCAGAUCCUUCUGUUAACCCCACCCUGUUGGUUCCUGCUUUAUUCUGAGUGCUUCAGUUUUUUAUUAAAAGUAUUUUGGAGUUAA